rnacentral:lncRNA from 1 species
AGAAGGCGCCGGGGCAAGCGGCCUGUUGGCGCCCAGUUUCAGCUGGCUGUUCCCGCUAGCAUCAGGGCUCGAUCGUAGAGGACGCGGCAGCCGCAGCUCGCGGAGAACAGCGGGCAGAGCUGUGGGCUGCACGCGCCCCUGCAGCCACCGGGCGUCCCGCAGAGGCUCCCGCGCCCUGCGGCGACUUCCGCCCCCGCGCUCCCCUUUGUCCGAGUCCCCAAGCGGCGGCGGCGGGGUAGGAGCCCACGCCGUGGGCGACUGAGGCGGCGGCAGUCCGCGUCCCGGCGCCCUGGAGAUGCCGGACCAGAUCUCCGUGUCGGAAUUCGUGGCCGAGACCCUUGAGGACUACAAGGCGCCCACGGCCUCUAGCUUCACCACGGGCACGGCCCAGUGCCGGAACACCAUGGCGGCCAUCGAGGAGGCUACACUUGGGAAAACCAUCAUAUUGAAGGACAUUGUCAAAGUUCAAGAAGAAAUGAAAGGUUUAGUCUCCACUGCCAGCUGCCAUGGGCAAGCAGAACAGCAAACUGGGUCCUGAGGUGCUGCAGGACCUGCGGAAAACAGGGAGUUCACCCACCAUGAGCUUCAGGAGUGGUACAAGGGCUUCCUCAAUGACUGUCCCACUGGCCACCUGACUGUGGACAAUUUCAAGAUCUAGGCCAACUUCUUCCCCUACAGAGAUUCCUCCAAGUUUGCUGAACAUGUCUUCCACACCUUUGACACCAACAGCGACAGCACCAUCGACUUUCAAGAGUUCAUCAUUGCUCUGAUCAUGACCUCUCGGGGCAAGCUGGAACAGAAGCUCAAGUGGGCCUUCAGAAUGUCUGAACUAGACAGCAAUAGCUACUUCAGCUGCAGUGAAAUGCUGGAGAUAGUGCAGGCAAAAUGUCCCUGGAAGAAUUCAACAAAGGUGCCAAGAGUGACCCAUCCAUUGUCUGGUUGCUGCAGUGUGAUCCCAGCAGUGCUAGCCAGUUCUCAGGGGAAUGGGCUUUUACACAGUUGUGAGAAGCACAGUCUUGACCUGCCAUCUUCAGCUUUGCUUGCAAAAGUGGAUUUCUCCGUGAUUUCUCCUGCUCUCUCGGGACCUGGGUCCAGACAGCACAUCACACUCACCUGGUCUAGCUGGAUUCAGCUCCCUCCUCUAUCUGACCCAAUAGAUGUCCGUCCCCAUCCAGUCCAGGCUGGUUCCUUCCAAGGUUUCAAGUGUUCUCAGCUGUAGGGCUCCUUCCCUCCCCACGGAGGGCCUGGAGGCCCUUAAGGACACCAGACAGGACUUUUCAGUAUCUUACCGAGACCAGCUGAUUUAUUCUAUGAUCCCAGCUGACUUUGUGAGCAUGAAGAAGAUGGAGAGUAGAUAGGCAAGCCCUUCCUGUUCAUGGCUCCACCUCCCUUGUUCAUUUUCUCCAACCACAGCUGCUUGCAUGUAUAUACCGUGGUAUCCUUACUUUUAAUAUAUAAGUUUUGUAUAAAGUGAGAAGUUUCAGCCCCUGUAUUUAAAGCCUCUGACUGCCUUUAAAGCAUGGUCCCCUGUGGCUUGUGAUUCUCCCCACCCCCAAAUCUAGCUGUGCUGUGGUAUUUAAGUAUUCAUUUGCCUAAUUAUACAGGAUAUACAUGCAUGCCCAAGGCUGUGGACAUCUGCCCUCCGUCCUGCAAAUACAGGUUUUCUUGGGUGCUCCAUCCUUCCUUUCCAUUGACCUGGAAUAUUAAAAUGGUCAAAUAAACCAA